rnacentral:rRNA from 1 species
UACGUAGGGACCGAGCGUUGUCCGGAUUCAUUGGGCGUAAAGAGCUCGUAGGCGGCUGUUCAAGUCGAACGUGAAAACUCGGAGCUCAACUCCGAGCCUGCGUUCGAGACUGGAUGGCUAGAGUCUGGUAGGGGGAUCUGGAAUUCCUGGUGUAGCGGUGGAAUGCGCAGAUAUCAGGAGGAACACCGGUGGCGAAGGCGGGUCUCUGGGCAGUAACUGACGCUGAGGAGCGAAAGCGUGGGGAGCGAACAGG